rnacentral:rRNA from 1 species
AAAGGGUGCGUAGGCGGGUAGGUAAGUCAGUGGUGAAAUCCUGGAGCUCAACUCCAGAACUGCCAUUGAUACUAUCUAUCUUGAAUAUUGUGGAGGUAAGCGGAAUAUGUCAUGUAGCGGUGAAAUGCUUAGAUAUGACAUAGAACACCCAUUGCGAAGGCAGCUUACUACGCAUAUAUUGACGCUGAGGCACGAAAGCGUGGGGAUCAAACAGGAUUAGAUACCCUAGU